CGGGGUGGAGUAAUGCUUGGGAAUCUAGCUUAUGGAGGGGGAUAACUACGGGAAACUGUAGCUAAUACCGCGUAGAAUCGAGAGAUGAAAGUGUGGGACCUUCGGGCCACAUGCCAUAGGAUGAGCCCAAGUGGGAUUAGGUAGUUGGUGAGGUAAAGGCUCACCAAGCCGACGAUCUCUAGCUGGUCUGAGAGGAUGACCAGCCACACUGGGACUGAGACACGGCCCAA
rnacentral:rRNA from 1 species